GUGGAGUUUGUGUUCUACCACAAAGCUGUGGUUGCAGAACCUUGGCUGCAGGAUGAAAGCUAAUGCCUUUGAGGUUUAAGAUUGCUUAGAGGGAAUCCUUCUUGGGCCUUUCAUUCUGGGGCUGGCCCUGUGGCCAGGUGGUGAAGUUCGCGCUCUCCGCUGCAGGCCGC